rnacentral:rRNA from 1 species
UCAUCUUCGGGGGUAGAGCACUGUUUCGGCUAGGGGGUCAUCCCGACUUACCAACCCGAUGCAAACUACGAAUACCGAAGAAUGUUAUCACGGGAGACACACGGCGGGUGCUAACGUCCGUCGUGAAGAGGGAAACAACCCAGACCGCCAGCUAAGGUCCCAAAGUCAUGGUUAAGUGGGAAACGAUGUGGGAAGGCCCAGACAGCCAGGAUGUUGGCUUAGAAGCAGCCAUCAUUUAAAGAAAGCGUAAUAGCUCACUGGUCGAGUCGGCCUGCGCGGAAGAUGUAACGGGGCUAAACCAUGCACCGAAGCUGCGGCAGCGACACUAUGUGUUGUUGGGUAGGGGAGCGUUCUGUAAGCCGUUGAAGGUGGCCUGUGAGGGUUGCUGGAGGUAUCAGAAGUGCGAAUGCUGACAUAAGUAACGAUAAUGCGGGUGAAAAACCCGCACGCCGGAAGACCAAGGGUUCCUGUCCAACGUUAAUCGGGGCAGGGUGAGUCGACCCCUAAGGCGAGGCCGAAAGGCGUAGUCGAUGGGAAACAGGUUAAUAUUCCUGUACUUGGUGUUACUGCGAAGGGGGGACGGAGAAGGCUAUGUUGGCCGGGCGACGGUUGUCCCGGUUUAAGCAUGUAGGCGGAUGUUCCAGGUAAAUCCGGAACGUCACUAACGCUGAGGUGUGAUGACGAGGCACUACGGUGCUGAAGUGACAAAUGCCCUGCUUCCAGGAAAAGCCUCUAAGCAUCAGGUAACAUCAAAUCGUACCCCAAACCGACACAGGUGGUCAGGUAGAGAAUACCAAGGCGCUUGAGAGAACUCGGGUGAAGGAACUAGGCAAAAUGGUGCCGUAACUUCGGGAGAAGGCACGCUGAUGGUAAGUGAAACGACUUGCUCAUGGAGCUGAAAUCAGUCGAAGAUACCAGCUGGCUGCAACUGUUUAUUAAAAACACAGCACUGUGCAAACACGAAAGUGGACGUAUACGGUGUGACGCCUGCCCGGUGCCGGAAGGUUAAUUGAUGGGGUUAUCCUCACGGAGAAGCUCUUGAUCGAAGCCCCGGUAAACGGCGGCCGUAACUAUAACGGUCCUAAGGUAGCGAAAUUCCUUGUCGGGUAAGUUCCGACCUGCACGAAUGGCGUAAUGAUGGCCAGGCUGUCUCCACCCGAGACUCAGUGAAAUUGAACUCGCUGUGAAGAUGCAGUGUACCCGCGGCAAGACGGAAAGACCCCGUGAACCUUUACUAUAGCUUGACACUGAACACUGGUCCUUGAUGUGUAGGAUAGGUGGGAGGCUUUGAAGUGUGGACGCCAGUCUGCAUGGAGCCAUCCUUGAAAUACCACCCUUUAAUGGCUGGGGUUCUAACGUGGGCCCGUGAUCCGGGUUGCGGACAGUGUCUGGUGGGUAGUUUGACUGGGGCGGUCUCCUCCUAAAGAGUAACGGAGGAGCACGAAGGUCAGCUAAUCCUGGUCGGACAUCAGGAGGUUAGUGCAAUGGCAUAAGCUGGCUUGACUGCGAGCGUGACGGCGCGAGCAGGUGCGAAAGCAGGUCAUAGUGAUCCGGUGGUUCUGAAUGGAAGGGCCAUCGCUCAACGGAUAAAAGGUACUCCGGGGAUAACAGGCUGAUACCGCCCAAGAGUUCAUAUCGACGGCGGUGUUUGGCACCUCGAUGUCGGCUCAUCACAUCCUGGGGCUGAAGUAGGUCCCAAGGGUAUGGCUGUUCGCCAUUUAAAGUGGUACGCGAGCUGGGUUUAGAACGUCGUGAGACAGUUCGGUCCCUAUCUGCCGUGGGCGCUGGAGAAUUGAGGGGGGCUGCUCCUAGUACGAGAGGACCGGAGUGGACGCAUCACUGGUGUUCGGGUUGUCAUGCCAAUGGCAUUGCCCGGUAGCUAAAUGCGGAAGAGAUAAGUGCUGAAAGCAUCUAAGCACGAAACUUGCCCCGAGAUGAGUUCUCCCUGACUCCUUGAGAGUCCUGAAGGAACGUUGAAGACGACGACGUUGAUAGGCCGGGUGUGUAAGCGCAGCGAUGCGUUGAGCUAACCGGUACUAAUGAACCGUGAGGCUUAACCUU